CAAACAAUGCAUUCUGCGAUAAUGAGCAUAUAGUGUCGAACUAUUAUUAUAACAUUGCAGUUUUGUUCGAGUCCAAGUUCCCGACCAUCAUCUCACAUAUAGUGUUCUCAAAUUAGAUCGAUAGUAAUGCAACUUUAUGCUAGAAUGUGCAACAAAACUAUCUUGUUUGUAUCUGUUAACUGUUGAAUCCCCAAGAUGAAUGCCCGUACAAGAAGCUUGUCAAUCCUAAAUUCUUUCUUAGUAAACAUAUUUGAUCACAUAGUUUUCUUUUUUUGUGAAUUCCGAACAUACUACUUGGAGGAAGGAGGGGGCGGCACAGAGAGGGUCCUCACACAGUCCAGUGAUCGACCACGACGACGCGGCCGUGCGGUGGGUACCCACGGACGCCGCUCUGCCGGGUCGGAGGAGGAGUCCAGAUCCGGCACCUCACCAAGGUCGGCGCUGCACGGUGAGUGCAACUGCCUUGAGAAACCCGGCCCGGCCAUCUUCUCCCCCGAGUUGCUGCCACGGCGAACCCUAUAGGCGCCUCUGCGCCCCAGUCAAGUCUCAUGUGUGCGUUGAUUUAGGAGGAGUGUACUGUUGAGAUCAAUGUCGGGAUCCGCAAGUUUCUAUUGCGUAGCAUCAGAUUAAUAUUGCCAAGCAUGAGCUGGCGGGGCAUAUGGAAGAUAUCCCAUGGGCCAGCAGCUGGAGCCUGGAAGCGGAUGUUAAUGCUCCAUAGCAGAGAGUUUAGGUUUACAGCAAGCAGCGACUACCAAAUUUUCCAUGUAGGAUAUAAACGGAGAUUGUCAUGGAGAUGGUUGCCAUCAGUUCCAUUUUGUUGCACAUCACAAGCCUGCCAUUUUAGUACCUUGAGGUCUGACUCAUGCAUGCAGAUGGGGAGAUGCAUUCAUGUGCUUGCUGUUGCGUGCCAGUAGCUUCGUUCAGUUGCUUCAGUGGGAUAAAGUUACUCGAUGUGGAUUUUGUUCUGUAAACGUUCAACAAAUUUGCCAGCGAGUAGUUUGACACAUACGAGCAUGAGGUUCUUCUGGUAACAAGUUCUUGAUGCGUCGAUAGGAUAAGUUUUACAGAAAUGAGAUGAUCUUCUUAAGGGAGGCAUUUUUACAUCUUUGCACAGGUGUACUUUUGCGGCUGUACUUUUGUUAAUUGAAAGUGGAAUUACCCCAAUUGAUAACCAAAUUUUGUGCUCACUGCCGACAUGGGGUUGACGAUGACGUCCCAGAGCCCUUGCCUCUGCUUGAUGCUGCGUCGAGCAAGAUGAAGCCAUCAGAUACGUGUGGUGUGUAGAGUCCGUUCUAAUCAAUGGAAAGGAAGUGGAGGAAGGGAAAUUGCCUACAGAGUUAUUUACAUUUCAACCUGAUCACAAGGCCAUUAGAGAUUGGACUAUUCCACUCGGUCCGAACUACAUUAGGUCAAUUGUACAUUUUAUUUCAAGUUACGAAGAAUACGAGCUGAGAACAUAUAGGAGCUCUAUGUGGUUUAAAUAUUUUUAGACGAAGUUUGAUGUACUUCUCAUGAAUAUCUUCGUAAACAGAAAUAAUGGUAAACCAUGCACUGCUACAUUAUGUUUCACCAGAAUCACUCUUUAUAAUAUCUUGUUGCUUUCA